GAUGAACGCUAGCUACAGGCUUAACACAUGCAAGUCGAGGGGAAACGACAUCGAAAGCUUGCUUUUGAUGGGUGUCGACCGGCGCACGGGUGAGUAACGCGUAUCCAACCUGCCCACCACUUGGGGAUAACCUUGCGAAAGUAAGACUAAUACCCAAUGAUAUCUCUAGAAGACAUCUGAAAGAGAUUAAAGAUUUAUCGGUGAUGGAUGGGGAUGCGUCUGAUUAGCUUGUUGGCGGGGUAACGGCCCACCAAGGCAACGAUCAGUAGGGGUUCUGAGAGGAAGGUCCCCCACAUUGGAACUGAGACACGGUCCAAACUCCUACGGGAGGCAGCAGUGAGGAAUAUUGGUCAAUGGACGAGAGUCUGAACCAGCCAAGUAGCGUGCAGGAAGACGGCCCUAUGGGUUGUAAACUGCUUUUAUAAGGGAAUAAAGUGAGUCUCGUGAGACUUUUUGCAUGUACCUUAUGAAUAAGGACCGGCUAAUUCCGUG
rnacentral:rRNA from 1 species